rnacentral:rRNA from 1 species
UACGUAGGGUGCAAGCGUUAAUCGGAAUUACUGGGCGUAAAGCGUGCGCAGGCGGUUAUAUAAGACAGAUGUGAAAUCCCCGGGCUCAACCUGGGAACUGCAUUUGUGACUGCAUGGCUGGAGUGCGGCAGAGGGGGAUGGAAUUCCGCGUGUAGCAGUGAAAUGCGUAGAUAUGCGGAGGAACACCGAUGGCGAAGGCAAUCCCCUGGGCCUGCACUGACGCUCAUGCACGAAAGCGUGGGGAGCAAACAGG